CAUUGACACUGUCACUUAAUACAACAGAGGAUAUUUGCUUCUCUGUUUCAGCAUUUCCACAAGAAGAUACAGGCUCUGAGAGUGGCGUAGCAGCUGCAUCACUUGUUGCUGCUGAUUGUGGUAACAUUUGCUCAUCAACAGAAGUAGUGUUGCUAGUGACAGCAGUGUCGUCUUGCCCGUCUUUGUUGCUGUCACCAUUAUUAGGGUUGUUAGUACCUGUCUGCUGCACUGGUGUAAAAAAUGCUGUUACCUUUGUCAAGGACUCUAUCAAUUGUCUGUUCUCCUCCCGUUUUUUCCAUUUUUCUGCACCACUUGGGUAACUCCGUUUCAUGGUUGUAGUAGUACGUCUCCCGCUCCUUAAUCAAACUGCAGUGAAUAACCUUCCGCUUUCGUCACACGGAAUGUACCAUUGCAGUGUGUGUUGGGGGCGGCGGGGGGGUGACUAAUACUCUUCAGCAACUGGCGUGGCGUAAUGGCAUUCUAAUGCUGUUUUAGCAAGUGGAUUUUUAAUAAUUUCAGACGUUAGUUGUAAGUGCUUGCUAAAAAUACUUACUGUAGUACGACUUAAGUCAUGGGGCACUGGCAGUUCGGGGCUCUAGGCGCUCGCCUGCUUUUGCCUAAUGGUAGCUCCGCCUCUGAUCUUAUCUUCUUUCCAUCUAUCCAUCCGUCCAUCCAUCCACUGAACUGUUCUACCCUCCUUUAACUUUCAUGUGUUCUGUCCCCCCCAUACUUACAAAAAAGGAAGUUGCAACAUCUUUAGCAUUGCAGUUUCUCUCUCCAACGCCAGUAUUUCCCAGUUUUGUCUGCCUUCCUGUUCAGUUCUCAAGGAAGAAAGUAAGACUUGGCCAGGGGGCGCUAUUUCCCAGCUACACACAACGACUGGAGUCUAUUUGAAUAUCAGGAUUUAGAGCAGGACACACAAACUGUGCUGUUCUACAUUGCAAACUGUGCUGACAAUGUCAGUGUCAACAAACCCGCCCAGGUUUUUCCAAACCAGAAACCCUGGAUGAUGACAGAAGUCCACUCACUCAUCAGGAACCGCCAUACUGUCUUCAGGACAGGGGACUGGGGACAGGGUACAGCACAGGGAGAGAUGACCUGAGGAAGGGCAUCAAAGCUGCCAAGACGGCACAGAAACUGAAAAUGUAGGACCAGUACAAACAUACGUAGUGUACAGAAUGACCAGAAUUAGUGUGAAUUGAGAAGCCUUAUGGCCUGGGGGAAAAAGCUUCCUGAGUCUCUCUGUCCUGGACAUGAGGCAACGGAACCGUCUGCCUGAGUUCAGCCCGCGGAACAGACAGUUUGCGGGGUGUAAGGAGUCCUUAAUUAUCUUGGUACCUCUGGACCUGCACCGUUUAUUGUAGGUGUCCAGCAGGGAGGGCAGAGGAGAUCUGACACGACGCUCGGCCACCCUGAUCACCCUCUGCAGGGCUAUGUGCUCCUUUAGAGAACAGUUCCCAAAACAUACCGUAAUGUUCAUGGUCAAGAUGCUCUCCACAGCAGCUGAGUAGAAGGUUUUUAGGAUCACUGGAGUGACCCUAAAUCUCCUCAGCUGCCUCAGGUGGUACAGCCGCUUCCUCGCUCUGGUGACCAGAGUAUAAACAGCUUCUUUGCUCGCUUUGAGCCACACAGGUCAGACACAGUCACACUGCCCCCCCCCCCAGCCUCCAGCACUCACACACUCACUCUGCAGGAACACCAAGUGAGAUGAGCACUCAGGCAAGUCAACCCGAGGAAAGCAGCUGGUCCUGAGAGAAUCAGGCAAAAUACUCAAAGCAUGUCCUUCCCAGCUCUCUGGUAUCCUCACCAAGAUCUACAAUCUCUCAUUAACCAAACCCACCAUCCCUCCCUGCUUGAGGUCAUCCACCAUCAUCCCUGUCCCAAAAAAGUCUGAUAUAACCUGCCUCAGUUAUUACAGGCCAAUCACUCUCACCUCAGUGGUGAUGAAGUACUUUGAGGAGCUGGUUGCACAUUACAUCAAGGCCAGCCUCCCUCCUUAUAGUUUAAUAUCCAAAGUGCCCAUUGAGUACUGAAGGAACAUGCAGUGUAAUGGCUAUACCAUUUUUUGACUUAAACACAGGGUGAAAUAUGGCCCAUAGUUAUGAGUCCAAAUGAUCAGUGGACGUCUCUCCCUGCGACUGCAAACUGCCUGUAGUCAGACUGAUACACAGGACCUGGUUUCCUUACAGCCAUAAUCAUCUAAGUAAUGGCUCACCGAGAGGCCCAGACCUCGCUCCCCGACCUCUUGCUGGAGUAUCUGGAGGAGCUCGAUGAUGAAGAGCUGAAGAAGUUUAAAUGGAAACUGAGUCACACACAGUAUAAAGAGUUAAAGCCCCUUCCCAGGGGCCUGGUGAAGGGCUUGGAUAGGACAGACCUUGCAGACAAGAUGAUAAGUUCCUACAGUGAAGUUGAUGCUCUCAAUGUCAUGCUUGAAAUCCUGAAGAAUAUGACCCUGAAUGACCUUGCUGAGAGACUGAAGGCAGACCUGCAGAAUUGUAAUCACGCUUUUUAACUUUUCUUAUUUUUCAUAUAAAACCAUAUGUAGCCUUUUUUAGGUAUUGAAAAAGAAAUAUAUUAAAUACAUUAUAUGG